AAAAAUUAUAUUUCUUCAAGCCUCAACUAAAACAACCACUAUGAUUCAUUAACAUCUCAAAAGUAAAUGAUUCCUUUUGAAAUAGACUCAUCAUCCAAGAUUCCUUACUUGUUCGUCCUGAUAAGUUCAAACUGGUAUUAUAAAAGAAUAAAAAGGCAGCAAAUAAGUCAAGCACAAAAAUCUCCUCGAGGCAAAAUUACCAGCGUUAAAAAUGCUGGAGGGCAAAAUGUUUGCAUCAAAAUCACCCGUCGAGAUAUUAUUGUCGUCUAAAUAUAUCAUGUUUAUUAACAGCAGAGGGUGUCCAUAUUGCAGGGCUGAAUAGAGAGGAAUACAAACAAAAGAAGGAAAUAGAAGAAAAUAGACAGAGAUGAGGAUGUAAAAAGAGAAAGAGGGAGAAGAGAAGAGGGAGAUAUAUAAAGAAAAAGAGAAAGGAAAGUUUACUUUUUAUUUCAUUUUCGGUCAAAAACAGCAUCUUAAUGCACUCAGAGGACUUAUCUGUGCGACCGUUUUGGAUUCCAUGAAGGAAACGAGAAAAGGCAGGCAUACAAAUAUAUAUAAGUAAUAUGUAUUCAGUAUUGUUAAACUAUAACAUAAAGCCCCAGAUCAUAGAUUAUUUUGAAUCAUUUUGUUUACAUCUCACGCCCUACAGUACUUUCAACAAAUAUAUUGCAAUGAUUGAAAUUCAACUACAUAGAUUUGAAGUAUAAAAAUGUGUAAUUUUGUCUUUUUUUGAUCAAAAUUACUUGUUGAUUAUAAGCAAGAUAAUAAUCUACUAAAUUACCUUUAAAUAUAUUAUAGUUCCUAUUUCAAUAUACAUACAUUCUUCACAAUAGAAAGAUAUGAUUAAAAAUAUAAGAAAACAAUUUUUGCCAAUUUACCCAUGAAAUUCAACAAUAAUUAUUGAAAUUUCACAAUAUUUUUUCUCCCCACAUGGAUAUAAGAUGCUUAUAAAAUCAAAAUCAUGAAUCAUUCAAUACCAUCCAUACAUGCUUGUAAAUGUGUGUCCAGUAAGUGGAACGUUUCUAUUGGGUGAAGAAAACCAGUCUUCUGUAUUUCCAGCAUAAUAAUGUCGUUCUUGAUCAAAUGUCGAGGAAGUAUUAAAAAUUAAUGGAACUGUGGAUGAGCAAAACGCAUUUUCUAAAGGUGGAGUGCAUGAUUUUGAAAAGUUAAAUUCAUUGUUGUUCAAUGAAGAACUUUGAUCCACUUCAUUGUUGAAAUAUUGAAUCUAAAGUUGUGUUAGUGUCAAUUUUAUUAUAAACAUAAUAUUAAUUACCUGUGAUGUCAAUGAUGACGUUGAUGGAUAUGUUCCAUGGUUUUGCAAUGAAGAUGAUCCUAAAUUUGACUGUGACAGGGGAGUGGGGUCUUGGCUAGAACUGAUAUGAACAUCUAUUUAUAGAUAUAGUAUUUUUAUAUAAAGAUAUGUAUUAAAAUAUAAUUGAUGUAAAAAUA
rnacentral:lncRNA from 1 species